UUUACUCGUACGAGGCGUUAGCUGUCCAAUGUGAAGCGUCCCGGAUGACUCUGGAGGCUAUCUAUGACGAC
rnacentral:ribozyme from 1 species